GAAAAUGUGUACGGAAGAACAACAACAACUAGAAAAUUUCCUUGCAGAAAAUUUGAGAGUGGCACGGGAGUGUGCCGGGAUUUAAAUUAAGAUUUUAUAAUUACCAAACCUAC